GAAUAAUACAAGUUUAUUUUAUAAAUCAAAUAUACACUUCCAAUUUUCUACGUCAAUCCAAAUGUUUAGAAAUUAGAUUUAUUUACAAUUUUAACUAGUGUGAUUUUUACAACUGGGUGGCAUUUACAGUUGAAAUAAGAGUUGUUCUUGGCAGAAGAGUUGUUCUUAGCUUUUCAUACUUGACUGUCACACAACACUAAAUAUUUUUAUCUUAGAUAGUAUUUACUCAGUAAUAAAAUAUAAUGGGACACUUGCUUAAUAAAAGGGUUAAGAAAUGAUUUGGGUUAUAAUCAAAGGAAUGUAACUACAAAUCUGUAGAAAGGCACUUUGCAUGUAAAAUUCCAAUAAAAAGCUAUUCUUCAAAAUUUUACAGAUCUAAAGAAUUACUCCUAGUUAACAUGUUUUCUGCUUUAGUGCUUAAAAGCCUCCAUAAAUCUGAUCACCUUGGGUGUUGAGGUUAGCUUACUUGCAAGACUUCUAAGCAGUCUAUAAAGUAUGCUUGGAAGGCUGCGGCAUUGUGGCCCACAGCUCGUGAGGGAGGCCAGUGAUGAUACAUGGAUCACAGGAAGCGGGUGGGAAGAAGGGACUAGAAAAUCAGAGUGCAGCUACAGAGAGAAGGCGAUGGAGGAGGAGAUGAGAGAUGUCUGCUGUGACUCAGACUCUUGUUUUCUAAGUGUUCAGGGACAGAUUCCAGCAAAACUUCUGGUUUGGGUCAAGCCUUUUUGAGCUGAUGACUUCCCAACUGAGAUAGUUACAUAGUUGCAGAGUGUGUGUGUGUGUGUGUGUGUGUGUGUGUGUGUGUGCGCGCGUGCGCGCACACGCUGUGAAACACAUAUUUUUAGUUUUGCUCCCUAUUCAGCCAGAAAACCAGCGGAGAGAAUAAAACCAAUACAGAAAUCAAAGCUGCUUCCAGGAAGGAACUGUAUAUGCAAGUGUUUCUUCUCAGUGGAGCAGGAAGAAAUGAAAUUGGAGUGUAGGCUCCUGAAGACUGGUAAGGGCAGGAGGGGAGAGCACAGAAAAGGAACCUCUAGAAAGGAGAUGGUGAAUGGAAAGGAAAUCCCAGGCACUGUCAGUUUCAUGUUGUUUUAGGAACUGGUGUUUCACCCAUCUAGGCUGAGGGGGGGGGGGGUUAAUGGUUAAAUCUAACAAUGGUCAUCUGCCCCAAUCCCUCAGAAUUAGGUUGCUACCAGGAAGUUCUGCCAGGCAUCUUCCUACUUUAGUUUCAAUGCCUCAUUUCCUAAGGUGAUCUGAAUUCUAACUAGCACAGGGAGGUUCCACAGACACCAGUGUCUAGUUAUCACAAGCUCAUGUGGUUCAUAUGUGUCUCUGUCAGUUAUGGGAAGCGUGCAUUUGUACUUUUAGCUCAAUGCUUUUCACACAGAACACAUUUGACUAAAUGAAGAGAUUACGGCCUGGAACCUCUAAUCUCUAGUUAUGCUUGCACUACUCAAGCACAAGUUCAUUGUUUCUAAGGGGGAAAAGAGGCUUUUUUGUACUGUAAAAUUAAAAAAAAAUUAAAUGAUUAGAUGAUGGUGCCCUCUGUCGCCAAGAACACUGCUGGGAACGCUUUCAGCAGCUGCAGCCAAGUCCCUCACCUGUGCUAUUUAACAAUGUCUACUCAGGAAGUAAGGCACUUCACCUAAAAGGCUAGGUGUGACCUGUAUAAGUGCCAGGGCUCUAAGCCCUUCCUAAGCACCAAGAUGUCACCCUGGGGGCCUUUCCUGAAGGUUGUCAACACCCAAGAAAUGCAAAAUGUGUGUGGUCUUGACUGGAGACUCUUUCCCUGGGGGUGGGGGUGGGGUACUGACAAAAUACUCCAUUGCGUGGUUUGACACAAUUUCUGGUCUACUUGAAAAAGGAUGAAAAUUCAUCUCAAAUUGUUGUCAUGCACACAGAAAGUACUAGAUUUUUCCUUUGACACUGAGCUCAAUUUUCAGUUUGUAAUAAUGUCUCCUAAAAAGGCAAGGGCUCACUCUAAAACUUCCAGGUCACAUCCAAAGGACAAAAGGAUUCUUAUUUAGUCUAGCAGUCUGAUGAGAACCCUCCUAUGGCCCUCCAAGGUGGGCACAGGCGGUACUGAGUGAGAACUUGGGGACAGGCAGCCAAAGGUCCUGACAGUGUCCCUGAUUCCAGCAUGCUGACUUCAGUUGGAUGAACAUGUGUUUCUCCAGAACAACCUGUUACAGCCAGGACUUGCUUGUUUAGAUACACAGGGAAGGAAGGUAGCUGUGUGAGGAUAAAUAAAUUGUGAGGAGUAAUAAA